AGCGAGGCUAGAGUCACGCCUUUGCAGCCCUCAUUGCUUUGGUGUGCUAGAGUGCUCGCAGAGUGAUUUUCUUGGCCUAUUCAUUGGCUCUAGUCUUUAGUGGUCCAGCCAAUCACCAGCUCAGAUACAGAA
ensembl:snoRNA small nucleolar RNA SNORA3/SNORA45 family